rnacentral:miRNA from 1 species
AUAUAAUAGGAGUAGGAUGGA